UGGGGGGAUGGAGGGAUGGUGUAAGGAGAGUCUGGGGUGUGUAUGAGAGGCUGUGUAUGUGUGCGUGUAAUGAGAAUCUAGGGACAUGGGAAGACUGGGAGAGAGGGUGAAGGGGUGCAGGUCUCUCAGGCGGUUGGGGUGGGGGUGGCAUUUUGAGACGUGAAGAGAAUGACGCUGUUUGGAUAAGUGUGUGUGUGUGUCUGUAUGUGUGUGUGUGUGUGUGGGGGGGGGGGGCGGGCAGUCAUUGAUGUGGACUUCCUGGAGAGGGGACACUGUUCUACCUUAGUUCCUUCCAUGCAUUACGCGAGAGGCAUCCUGAACAUCUGAUUAAGUAAUAAAGAAACCCUAUCUCCAACUUUGGCUUUCACACAGAUAAACAUAUCCCCACAUCUAGUGUCUACCUCUCCAGACCAUCAGGAUAAGGUAUUUUAUUUGCUGCUAUUUUGUUUCCAUUAUCAUCGUGAAAGUCUUCAGUCUUCAGUGAAACACUUGUGUUCGCUUGUGUUUUCAACUGUCUGUAAUAUGGUCUGGACACUACUAAACUUGCUGGUAAUCAUGCUUUCCAAACUUCAGUGUUUGCGUAAGCAGUGUGUGAUAAAAGUAGGUCAGGAGCACCUCCUUUUAACUUCUCUCUCCCAUCCAGCCGGGUUAAAGGGACUCUGCUCAAUGCAGGAACAUGAUAACACUGCCGUGGACAGACGAGCCAGAAGGACACAGACUCUGGACCGCGUCCGACACACGUUCCGCUUUAUUUCUUUUUCAUUAUUUCAUUAUUGUAUUAACAUACAUGAUACACAUACAUAACGUAAGUGGAAGACACGAUCCAAUAGGAAAGUGCAAGGGGCGCAAGAAGCUCAGAUGGACUUAUCUAGCUUAUUUAGGUCCAGAGUCGUUGUGGAGGUAGCUGCUAUCUGGGUUAUGAAAUAUUUGUCCUGCGUAUGGUUUGGAAAGCUCUCUCUUUUGACAUCAACACCGACCCCUCACCUAGAUCUUCACAAUGCUUAUUAUGAAAUAGCGACCUGCUAACUGCUAAAUAUACCCCUGCCAGCCAUAAUAGGACUACACUCUAAUAGCCGCGGCCAGAAAUAUCUGGUAGUAAAAUGAGACAACUCUCUGCUGGAUAUUCAUAGCAGGCAUAACAUGGAGCAUUCACAUCUCACCCUCUUAUCAUCAUUCAGACUCCACGCCUGAAUGUCCAAACGCAAUAUGAAGAACAUGCUGGUCUGUGAAUGAGUACAGGUUAAGUCAAACUACUAUACCUACUAUAACAUGACCUAUCACCAUUACUUAACAGAUGUGGCACUGCAUUUUUGUUGAGGAACAAUUUUGUGUAGAUAUGGUCUAGACACCUUGAUAAGUGGCAAGUCUGCUUCAGUCAGCAGGCAGUCAACAUCUAGUUAUGUGAUUACGGCACAAUUUUCUUUAAUUCUUUUUAGUCUUAUUAUUACGCCGUUUUUUUAUUGUCUUAUCUCCACCCACAGUUUUCAUGAUAUUGACACCAUUCUAGAAUUCACAGGUCCACCCCAAUGCCACGUACUUGGUUUACACCUUGCUUUUUGAAAGACCGGGGCAGGUAAUUUUUUUGCUGUUUUUAAAAAGCUUAUUUUCCCUGAGAAAAUGAAUGAGAUAAAUAGUUGUUUGCCCAGAGGCAGCUGAGCUUCUUCAGUAACUUUGCCAUUUUGUAACAUUUAAAAGAAGGAAAAACUCCCUUUUAACAGGAAGACACCUUCAGCAGAACCUCAGCUUAGGCUUAUCAGAUAAAUAUGUAUUUGUCAUCCAACAGCUGGUAGGAGAGUCAAAUCCGUCUUGUGUAAAGUGAAGUCUUAGCAUCCACGUAAUUGCAUAGGUUACAAUAUGCAACGGCAGGCUGCUGCUGCUGCUGCUGCUGCUGCUGCACAAUCACAUUCACAUCUCUGGUUACAUGUCUAUCCCCUCUUCACUGAUUGAGGAUCGUAGCUCCCUAAUAUUGUGGUCAGGGGCCGGAGAAAGUGGCCAUCCUUUAUCCUUUACCCCCCCCCCCCCCCCCCCCAAAAAACAAACAAAAAAAGGACACCCUAUCCUUGGAUCUAACCCACAUGAGGCCUGGUAAACAACGUGACGUGAGAGAGCUCAAUAUAGCACUGGGAUGCCAGGGAGGGGUUCGAGGGUUGACAAGUGAUAUUGGGGGGGGGUUUGAGAGGAGGCUAAGUUUAGGAGUGUCAUAUUUUAGCAUCCCAAUUGGAAGAAAACACACUCGCUCCACCACGCAAAUAAUCCCCCUGGUGUUCCUCACUGAGUCUCUCUGUCUCUCCCGUUACCGGGGUUCGGACGGGACUCGAAAUGCAUCUUUCAGGCGGGCUCCCACCGAGCCUUCUCACUGAACCUCACCUCUGAGUGAACCGGAGCGAUUGUAACGGAGACCGUGGUGGUGACGACUGCGCUGCGACUAGCGUCUCGGAUGUCUCCGAUCGUGGGUGAACACUGGAAGAAGCAAGGGCUUGCGGGCGGUGGCGGUGGAAGGGACUUUUCCGACAAGCGAAAGGCAUUUCGACCACAAAAAGGGGAAAAAAAAUAAAGCAGCCCCUGUUUCCCAUGCCUUCAGUCUCGAGUUUGGCCACACACAUAAUUAUAGACCUAGAGGACAGUAAGGCUGGCCAGCUGAACCCAGAGGCCUUGGUCACUGCAAAGGGGAAUCGUAUGUGUGCUAUUAGAGCGACGGACUCUGACACAGUUCUGGUCCCUGAUCUGUUCUGGAUCUGCACCACAUCAGUCCAGACCCGUUUCAGAAUUAUGAAGCAGAAUGGAAGUAUGCAAUAUGCACUACAGACUUUCCCCACUGACAAUGCUUGAUAAUCCUUCACAAUACCUUUAUCCCUCAUCCCUCAUAAUCAGAUGAUGGAGGACUUUCAUGACACAUUUGUAAGAUGAACAGUACUUGCCAUCUUUAAUGUGUCUAUGAAGUGGUUACUGGACUUAAUGAUGGAUAAAAAAAAAGCAGUACAAGGCUCUGAUAAUAGAAAUAGACUGUGUAUGAUUAAACUAAUUAUAUGUAUAGGAUAUGCUGUAUAGUUAGAAACAAAAAUCCAUACAGUGUACCAUGCUGAUUACUCAAUGUGCUAUUCAAUUUGUAUGUGUUACAUGCAACUACAGUAUGUUGCAGGGGUAAGUGAGGUUUUGUUGAGGCAAACAUCGAUGACUUAUUAGGUCUUAACCCUGACUGACAAACAUUCUCAUUUAUCUAUUAGGGUUUUUGACAGUCUUCAUUUGUCAUUUCUCUCGAGUCAACUACCUUAACCUGGGUUUUUGUACAUCAAACAUUAUAGAAAAUGGCGUGCCAAUCCACAUCAAUGUCCACUGCAAAACAGUGUGUGAUCGAGUAUGAGGCUGUGAGCGAACUAUAGUUUGUAACAUAACCAAGUCACGCUUGGAGCAGGGUUCCAGAUGCUUUGCCUAGCGCAUUGUCAUAUCUAUAACUAGCCUACCUGUAUGUAAAAAAGGAGAGCCCACCCGAGAAAAUCAUGUGCCGCUAACAAUUGUCUGGCGCCAGGUCUGGGUAGGAGGCCUGUUGUUCCGGGGAUAUACUAUUUAGUU
ensembl:lncRNA